GGAAUUAAGGAAAGCCGUGGGCUGGGUGCUGCUGCUCUCCUGAUAAUGAGGAAAAAGCAGGGAAGAACUACCAUUUCUGGGCAUCUCCAAUGAGCUGACUGUUCUUCCAGCCUGGCACAACGCGUGGGUCCUCAGACACAGACGGGGCCGUAGAGAGGCGGAGCCGGCACCUUUGGCCACAGGGUCGGGCGGCUGCUUGAUGGUGAAAGGCCACGUAAAGGAGACCCAGACACGGUCGAAGGCCAGAAGGAUCUUUGGUUUACAUGGACUAACUGAAGCGUUUAUGCUCCUCAGGCCUGAAAAAGUUAAGUGCUGGGGAGGCGGGGGGGGGCGCGAAGCAGGAUGAGAAGCCUGGACUUAUUCUAUGGCACACAAAAGAUUUUUAAUAAGCUCGGAGAAAGGGCUGCCACCCCCACCCCUCACGUCUUUCUCUCCCUGUCUUAUUCCAAAGCUCCUGUGUUAGCCAGAGAGACAGCUCGGAAAAACUGCCCCGGGAGGUGGGCAGCAGGCUGUGGGAGAGCUAUUCUGCUAGGCUGGCCCCCCAGGCAGGCAGGCAACUUCCACGAGGUCAAGAAAGGCUCCCCUGGUCGACAGAGAAGGAGCAAGGAGAACCCUGCCGAGUUCAACAGACCCCAGGAGUUUGGUUUUCCCUUUAAACCUUUUGGAGGAAAGAUGGAGCAGAAACUCAAGAUGAGGAUUUUUUUUUUUUUUUAA
rnacentral:lncRNA from 1 species